UACGGAGGGUGCAAGCGUUAUCCGGAUUUACUGGGUUUAAAGGGUGCGUAGGCGGGGCGGUAAGUCAGAGGUGAAAUCUCAUUGCUUAACAAUGGACUUGCCUUUGAUACUGCUGUUCUUGAAAUAUGUUGAGGUUGGCGGAAUGUGACAUGUAGCGGUGAAAUGCAUAGAUAUGUCAUAGAACACCGAUUGCGAAGGCAGCUGACUGGGCAUUAUUUGACGCUGAGGCACGAAAGCGUGGGGAUCAAACAGG
rnacentral:rRNA from 1 species